rnacentral:rRNA from 1 species
AUUGAACGCUGGCGGCAUGCCUUACACAUGCAAGUCGAACGGUAACGCGGGGCAACCUGGCGACGAGUGGCGAACGGGUGAGUAAAGUAUCGGAACGUGCCCAAUAGUGGGGGAUAGCCCGGCGAAAGCCGGAUUAAUACCGCAUGAGACCUGAGGGUGAAAGCGGGGGACUCGCAAGAGCCUCGCGCUGUUGGAGCGGCCGAUAUCAGAUUAGGCAGUUGGUGGGGUAAAGGCCUACCAAGCCGACGAUCUGUAGCUGGUCUGAGAGGACGACCAGCCACACUGGGACUGAGACACGGCCCAGACUCCUACGGGAGGCAGCAGUGGGGAAUAUUGGACAAUGGGGGAAACCCUGAUCCAGCAAUGCCGCGUGAAUGAAGAAGGCCUUAGGGUUGUAAAGUUCUUUUGUCCGUGACGAUAAUGACGGUAGCGGACGAAUAAGCCCUGGCUAACUCUGUGCCAGCAGCCGCGGUAAAGUACAGUGU